rnacentral:lncRNA from 1 species
AUUCCCUUAUGGCCCCAGCAGUUGGUGCCUCCUAUUGGUGGUAGUUCCUUCUCCCAGAUCCUGUAAGCCAGGGGCUAUGUCAGGAGCUAAGGACAUGAUGGCUGAGAAGAACUAUGCACAGGACAAACAAGCAGGAGACAGUUCCUUGGGAAAAUCUGUCAUAUUUGUCUGCACUAAUGUCACCCUGCCACCAGAAUCCACACUGGCCUGCACUAAGCCCUGUUCCAUCUGCCUAAGAAGGGAACCAAUAACAGUGCCACCCACUGAGGGAUAGACUCCACAGGACUUCCAGCUGAGAACUAAGGUUCUGGGAGAGAAGGUGAGCUCACUUUUGCAGAUGACUCUGCUCACUGGCCACACCGUGCUCUAUAAACACCCUGCACCAUCUGUGAUGUCAGUCGCCAGCCGCCUGGAGAAUCUGCCCUGCUCUGGGAGCUUGUAUUAAAACACUCACUUAUAACUCGCUAUUAAUUUUUCACGAGGAGUUAUUUUUAACUCGCUCAAACCAUUGUCUGAAUAUGCCAAAUAUAUUUUCU